UCCAUGAAAUACCAAGCAUUCGUCUCCAG
rnacentral:sRNA from 1 species